AUGAAGCACCCACACCCAUACAAGGUUCAAUGGCUAAGCAACAACGGCACAAUCCAAGUCGAGCAUAGAGUACAAGUCUCUUUCAAGAUUGGAGCUUACGAAGACACUUUGGAGUGUGAUGUCAUCCCGAUGACUGUGUGCCACCUCCUUCUAGGACGGCCAUGGCAAUAUGACCGCGGUGUCAUCCACAAUGGGCGUACAAACAACUAUAGCUUCAAGAUGGAAGGAAAUGAGUAUGUGCUACGACCUAUGUCGCCAAGCCAAGUAAUCACCGACAAGCAAGCAACCCAUCGUGGAGAGAAUAGUGAGAGAGCGAACCACCAAAAAGAGAGUGAGCGCCACAAGCCCAAAUUGAGUGCCUCCACGAUGAGCAACAAGAAAAACUUAGUUCUCUUUGCCACCAAAUGUGAGAUGAGAGAAGUGUGUGAGAACCCAUCAAGUGUCCUACACUAUGUCCUAUUGUGCAAGGACGAGGCACCAAAAACUAACACCUCUCACAAUUUACCUUUGGUGUUAUCUUCUUUAUUGCAGGAAUUCCAAGAUGUUUUCCCCGACGAGUUACCUCCGGGUCUACCUCCACUACGAGGCAUCGAACAUCGCAUCGACCUCAUCCCCGGAGCGCCACUUCCAAACAAGGCUCCCUACCGAGUAACCCCGAAGAAACCAAAGAAAUACAAAGGCAAGUAA
rnacentral:rRNA from 1 species